rnacentral:rRNA from 1 species
AUACGGAGGAUCCGAGCGUUAUCCGGAUUUAUUGAGUUUAAAGGGUGCGCAGGCGGCCAUUUAAGUCAGCGGUUAAAUCGUGGGGCUCAACCCCAUUCUGCCGUUGAUACUGGGUAGCUUGAUUGCGGUCGAGGUUGGCGGAAUUCGUUGUGUAGCGGUGAAAUGCAUAGAUAUGACGAAGAACACCGAUUGCGUAGGCAGCUGACCAGACCGCAAAUGACGCUCAUGCACGAAAGUGCGGGGAUCGAACAGGAUUAGAUACCCUGGUAGUCCGCACAGUAAACGAUGAAUACUUGUUUUCGGCGAUAUAAUGUCGGAGGCAAAGCGAAAGCGAUAAGUAUUCCACCUGGGGAGUACGCCGGCAACGGUGAAACUCAAAUGAAUUGACGGGG